rnacentral:rRNA from 1 species
AGGUGCGAUCAUACCAGCACUAAUGCACUGGAUUCCAUCAGAACUCCGCAGUGAAGCGUGCUUGGGCGAGAGUAGUACUAGGAUGGGUGACCUCCUGGGAAGUCCUCGUGUUGCACUUCUUU